rnacentral:rRNA from 1 species
CGUGUAGGUGGUUUGGUAAGUUGGAUGUGAAAGCUCCCGGCUCAACUGGGAGAUGUCGUUCAAAACUACCAGACUCGAGGACAGUAGAGGGGGGUGGAAUUCCCGGUGUAGUGGUGAAAUGCGUAGAUAUCGGGAGGAACACCAGUGGCGAAAGCGGCCCCCUGGGCUGUUCCUGACACUCAGACGCGAAAGCGUGGGUAGCGAACG